ACGACCGUUGGUUUUGUUGGUGAGAAACACCAAAAUUGGCGUCUUCAGUAACGUCUUAUCUUUUAUGCGAGUGGGCUUCUCUCUCUUCCAUUACGGAGCAGGUGACACACUUCCUGUUGCCACUCAUCUGCUGCUCAUUAAAAGCUACUCUCUCUCUCUCUCUCUUUCUCUUUGGAAUCAUGGUUGCUAGAGCAUCUCCAUUUCUUCCCCAUGAAUUCUCCUCAAGUAAUUCGGCAAUCUCUCGUCUGAAACAAGCAAAUUAUGCCCGCUGCUUCAAAACACAAGUCCCGUUUCGAAUAAAAUGUUGCGAAGACACUCUAGGAAGAACUCGAGUGAAGGGAAGAUCAGAAAUGGAGAUGCGUUUUCCAGAGAUGAACAACGCUUUGGGGAGCUCUUGCCCUUGCCCUCGUCCUCGUCGAAUAAUUCUUGUUAGGCACGGUCAGAGUGAAGGAAACGUCGAUGAAUCUGCAUAUACUCGAAUUCCUGACCCAAAAAUUUGUCUUACUGAGAAGGGGUGGAGAGAUGCAGAGGAAGUGGGGAAGCAGAUAAGGGAAAUGAUAUUGAGUGAUGGUGCUGAUGACUGGAAGGUUUACUUCUAUGUCUCUCCUUACAGAAGGACUCUUCAGACUCUUGAGGGUCUGGGAAGGGCAUUUGAGCUUCAUAGGAUUGCAGGAGUUAGAGAGGAGCCUCGUUUGAGAGAGCAAGAUUUCGGGAAUUUUCAGGACAGGGAAAAAAUGCGUGUUGGAAAAGCUGAUCGCCUUCGUUAUGGCCGUUUCUUUUACCGAUUUCCAGAUGGAGAGUCUGCUGCUGAUGUCUAUGAUCGAAUAACAGGCUUUAGGGAGACACUUAGAAGCGAUAUUGACAUAGGGCGUUUUCAGCCACCUGGUGAAAGGACACCAAACAUGAACCUUAUAAUUGUAUCACACGGGCUGACAUUGCGAGUCUUUCUGAUGAGAUGGUACAAGUGGACCGUGGAGCAAUUUGAGGGACUCAACAAUUUUGGCAAUGGUGGAAUGCUUGUUAUGCAGACUGGCUUUGGCGGCAGAAGGUGGCUGAUGCUUUUUUUAUGGCAAGUGACCCACACAUUGAAUGCAUGCUCUUAUUUACUUCUAACAGGUACAGCCUAUUAAUGCAUCAGAGUCCUGAAGAGCUCCAAGAAUUUGGAUUGACGGAAGAAAUGCUGAUUGAUCAGGAGUGGCAAAUGAUAGCAAAACCAGGUGAACUGAAUUACAAUUGGAUGACAUCUGGGCCGUCAUUUUUUUCCCGUCUGAAGAAGUAAUUUGAGGAUGAAGUAACAAGCUAAAUAAGAUCAUGCUUAUGUACAGAAGAUUUAUUGGCCUGGGAGUUUGGUUCUAAUACUUUAUGGCAUGCUCGUUGUAAGUUCGGCAUAUGUCAGUCAUAUCGCCUAAAUUAUAUAUUUUUUACAUCUAUAUAGGCAUGUACGUCCCCCUGGUGCAUUACCUG